UACGUAGGGCGCAAGCGUUGUCCGGAAUUAUUGGGCGUAAAGAGCUCGUAGGCGGUCUGUCGCGUCGGCUGUGAAAACCCGAGGCUCAACCUCGGGCCUGCAGUCGAUACGGGCAGACUAGAGUGCUGUAGGGAAGACUGGAAUUCCUGGUGUAGCGGUGAAAUGCGCAGAUAUCAGGAGGAACACCGGUGGCGAAGGCGGGUCUCUGGGCAGUAACUGACGCUGAGGAGCGAAAGCGUGGGGAGCAAACAGG
rnacentral:rRNA from 1 species